UCGAUUGACUGAUUGAUCGAUCCGUCAUAAUCUUCCUGUGUUUGGAAUUCGAAAGUAGCAACA
rnacentral:tRNA from 1 species